AGUCGGCACUUGAGACUUGGGAGGUGGUGCAGUGGAUAUCAAACUGACACAUCCUCGCCGCCGGUGAAGCGUCGAGGGAUCGAGCCAUCGUGGCCGCGGCGGCUGCGGAGGAGGAGGAAGGGGGGCCUCGAUCGGCGGGAUGGAGGAGCGCAAGGGCGCCGGCAUCCUCGCCAUGGGCAUCUCUACUCCCCUCCAACCUGCCCCAGCAGGUUUAUGCAGAAGGACCAGCUCGUCCUACUGGUGCUGCUGCUGCGAUGGCAAUGCUUAUCGGCCCAGAUGCUCCUAUACAUCUCUUUUGAAAGAAAAUAUAAAGCUUCUCAUAUGGCUCAUGUAUACCAUUUCUACAAGCCAGAUCUUGCAAGUGAAUACCCGAUUCCCUUUCAGGGAUGGUGGCCAUGACAUCAGGCAUGAAAAGCUUGUGGGAGAGCAGUUCUCAAUAUCUGAUGCAGUUAUAAGGUAUAUCUGAUGCAGUUAUAGCUUGUGCAGAAGAGUAUUGCUCGGAUUUUCUUCAAUGACUUCAUGCGCGAUUCAGGUCCAUUUUGUUCGCUUUACGCUUAAAUUGCAUUCAUUUUCCUACUUAAUAUGUAGCCUCAUGGUCUGUCAACCAAAUAAUGUUCUGAAAUUCUCUCCCAUUUUGGGGCUUCAAGUUACCCCCUUUUGUUAUUUUGGGGCUCAGUUGAUAACGACGCUAAAGAGAAGCUGCUAUCUUUUGCAAAUUUGACUAGUCAAGAAAGUUACCAAAGCCGCGACUUGAAGAAGGCCUCUCAACGAGUUGCAAAGAAUUUGUAUGACAUCAAAGUACAACCAUCAAUUUUGCUUCCUAAACAAAUAGGGGCUUGACAUCUUCUCAUUGAGAUUACAUGAGGGCUACCAUCCUUUCAGCAGCGAACAUUGCUUCUGUGCUUGAUGUGACAGUGACAGCAAAGCUCGAGUCAAGACAUGUGAUUCGUAUGGUCUUCUAUUACUAAAUUCUUCAUUCAGUUUGGUACAAUUUGUUGACCUACAACCCCAACAAGCAUUUUGAAGAAACUAGCACACAGAAAUAUGGCAAUGAUCAUUGCAUCACCCAUGCUUUAGCUUAUCAUGUCUCUUUAAUACAGAACUAGUACGCACAAAAAUAGAGUUGAGUUUUAUGACCAAACUUGUCCCAAAAAUUUAUUUCGUGAUCUGAGAAGUUCCCUUGCUUGCAAUUUUUUUCUCUCCUAAGCUGUCUAUCUUGAUCCCUCGUUUGUAACUUAACAUCACCUGAGAAAUUUGCCGAGACACUGAAGCUGAUGGAGAACCGUUACCGAGUGAAAGAUUUUGACACAAGCAAAGAUACAGGCCUGUUGCCACCUGGUACAUUCUAUCUUACAAAAGUCGAUUCCAUCUAUAUGAGGUUCUACAACAAGAAGGCGUCCGACAACAUUGCUUGGGGUGAAAUCAAGUUCAGCAAUCCCAUAGCAAAUGGCCUAUAGUGGUGAAAGCAUAUAGCAAAAUAAUGUUGCUAGAUUGUUGGCAUUAUUAUUCUGAUGUAUUAUGCUUAGAACUCUCAGUUUAGCCAUCUUGCAAAUAAUUGUUUUCUGAAACUAUUCACCCUAAACCCUCGGCUUGUUUUUGUGCUGAGCCAGGACAAGAACCUCUUUUGUUUCCUGAUGCUCGAUAUCUUUGUUA